GAUGAACGCUGGCGGCGUACCUAAUACAUGCAAGUCGAGCGAACAGACGAGGAGCUUGCUCCUCUGACGUUAGCGGCGGACGGGUGAGUAACACGUGGAUAACCUACCUAUAAGACUGGGAUAACUUCGGGAAACCGGAGCUAAUACCGGAUAAUAUAUUGAACCGCAUGGUUCAAUAGUGAAAGACGGUUUUGCUGUCACUUAUAGCUGGAUCCGCGCCGCAUUAGCUAGUUGGUAAGGUAACGGCUUACCAAGGCGACGAUGCGUAGCCGACCUGCGAGGGUGAUCGGCCACACUGGAACUGAAACACGGUCCAGACUCCUACGGGAGGCAGCAGUAGGGAAUCUUCCGCAAUGGGCGAAAGCCUGACGGAGCAACGCCGCGUGAGUGAUGAAGGUCUUCGGAUCGUAAAACUCUGUUAUUAGGGAAGAACAAAUGUGUAAGUAACUAUGCACGUCUUGACGGUACCUAAUCAGAAAGCCACGGCUAACUACGUG
rnacentral:rRNA from 1 species